rnacentral:sRNA from 1 species
UGGAAGCUAAAGAGCAAUUUUUAUUUUGAAUUUAAUAGAAAAACCCCAAGGCAGGACAACUGUUAACUGGAGCCACUGCAGAGGAGCAUAGAGAAGAGGAAGAAAACAGCUGUGCCCUGUAGGGUGGUUCUAAAGUCAGACACGUGACAGACAAGUGGCCAUGGGUCAGGGAAGGAGGCUUUAGCAGAAACGGAGGCUUCGGUGAAAUGUUGGAGGAAACUCCCAAAGCAUUAAGGAAAGUAUUCUUAGAGAAGAGGUGGAAGACAGAAAAGAGGUGACCCCACCUUUCUAAAUUGGUCCCUUGACCAAAUGAAUAAUCCAACCGAACUGGAAUGUGAAGUCUCCAACCUGGCCAAAGAUUCUAUCCCUGUGACCUGGAGUUACCUCUUCUAGCAGCAUCACCUUGCUCAAACAAUCUUUUGAUGAAGCAGAAAACAGAAACUGGUCUGGUAGGGUAGAGACCCCAAAGCAGGUGUCCUGAGAAAUGUCCUUGCUGGAGGCUAUUAAGGUCAAGGGAGUUCUGAUUCCUGGUUCCUUGCUAUCCCCUACUGUUGUCUGGAAACUAUACAGGAGGGUGGGAGGGUGGGACAGAACCGACAGGAGACACGUGAACACCUUUGUUUGGCCUAUUUGGAUUUAUCCCAUCUCGUGCCUUACCUGACUUUCUGCUACUAAUCUAUGAAAUCCCCCCAGUCUGGCAGCUUGGUGGCUCCUUGUUUCUUGGGACCCUCCCACUAUCUAGGAUCACCACCUUCUUUCCCAUAAGCUCCGUCUGUGAAUCUGAAUAAACUUUUUUUUUCUAAAACUCAUCUUCUGUCCUCCGAGAAUCUCAUUCUUUGAAAUUGAGACACAAGAUUCUGGAGGCUGCUGACUCAGGGGAGGGUCUGUGGCAGUCAGUAUUUGGGAUCCUAACUCCUGAGUUAAAAUCCAUCUGGGGCAGAAGGAACUGUUUCAUUAGAGAUCAAAGACACCCCAAACAGGACCAUGUUGAUUUUACUUUCCAGGGUGAUGACAGCAAAGAGACUCCAUUUUGAAGAGAAAGAAGGAAACAGCACCAAUGGACUCCUUUUUAUAACAAGAGCAUCAGAAAAAUCUAAAACAUACAUUGAUAAGUAAUUUGGAUGUGAAUCUAAAAUAACAAAUGCUCUAAUAGUCUUCUUGCAAAUACUGCAAAGUGAAAAUUAAAUAAAUGGAUGCAAAGGAGUCGAUGAGACAAGUCAAGUGGGCACAGCUGCACCUCAGGAUCCUUGCUUAGAGACAGCCUGCGUCAUCUCCUUAAUUUCUCUCCUAGACUAAGUGAGUAGAUGAGCAGGUAAUUAAUUACACAAAACUGUCAUUUUGCAGUGGGUAGCAUUCUAGGCACCACAAAACUGGACACUAAGGAGUAUUCCCAGGUCAUCAGAGACAUUGCUGUUACACACAGAAGGCAGACUGAGUUAGGCCUGUGGCUGCUUCUUCCCUCUAUCAUCCCCUCAGUGUAGUCCCUCUAUGAAAACCAUGGAGGUUAGUCAUGUGGCAGACUACACUGCACCACAUUGCCCUACCAAGUGGAGGGGGUGUCAAGAAAGAGCAAGGAAGCCCAGGGUACUAGGCAAAGCACAUUAGCAUCUCAGUAUCUUUAGGAAUGAGAAAGAAAAAGGGGGUAGGGGUCGGGGAGAAGAACGCAAUGCCUUUCUUAGUUAGGACUCAGAAGAUUAGCAGAUGCAACCCAGUUCAGGACAUCUUGUACCAGCUUCAUGGAAAAAGCAUAUAUGGUAAAAGCUCAUUAACGGGCUAAUUAUUCCUCCUAAAUCUUUAGUAUGGUUUGAGGUGGAUCCAUCACCCCAAGGGAAAGAUAGCUACAUGAUUGAUCUGCUAAACUAGAAUGCUAGGCAAUAGUCCCAGCCAGAGACUCCAGAGUUCUGACCAGAGGGAAGGUUUUCUGUUACUGUUCUGUUUCUGUUUUCUGUUAC